CAACAAAACCACCCAUAACUUUCAUCAGCCAGACGUCCGUAGUGCUGUCAACCCUCUCCAGACCUGUAAAAAUGGCUGCCACUGCAUGAGGGAGUUUCUGUUGACGGUGGAAAAAAACUGUGACAUCUGCCAGGGAGACAGUGGGGGAGGUGGCAGGGGAGAAGCACCAAGCCAUCGGGACAAAACAAACCAGCAGCAGCGGAAAAAUUUCCAUUGCCAUGAAGUUAUCUGUUUCUACCUGAUG